UACAGAGGUCUCAAGCGUUGUUCGGAUUCAUUGGGCGUAAAGGGUGUGUAGGUGGCGCGCUAAGUCGGGUGUGAAAUUUCGGAGCUUAACUCCGAAACUGCAUUCGAUACUGGCGUGCUUGAGGACUGGAGAGGAGACUGGAAUUUACGGUGUAGCAGUGAAAUGCGUAGAUAUCGUAAGGAAGACCAGUGGCGAAGGCGGGUCUCUGGACAGUUCCUGACACUGAGACACGAAGGCCAGGGGAGCAGACGGG
rnacentral:rRNA from 1 species